rnacentral:rRNA from 1 species
AUUGAACGCUGGCGGCAUGCCUUACACAUGCAAGUCGAACGGUAACAGGUCUUCGGAUGCUGACGAGUGGCGAACGGGUGAGUAAUACAUCGGAACGUGCCCGAGAGUGGGGGAUAACGAGGCGAAAGCUUUGCUAAUCCCGCAUACGCUCACAGGAUGAAAGCAGGGGACCGCAAGGCCUUGUGCUCACGGAGCGGCAGAUGGCAGAUUAGGUAGUUGGUGGGAUAAAAGCUACCAAGCCGACGAUCUGUAGCUGGUCUGAGAGGACGACCAGCCACACUGGGACUGAGACACGGCCCAGACUACUACGGGAGGCAGCAGUGGGGAAUUUUGGACAAUGGGCGCAAGCCUGAUCCAGCCAUGCCGCGUGCAGGAUGAAGGCCUUCGGGUUGUAAACUGCUUUUGUACGGAACGAAAAGACUCCUUCUAAUAAAGGGGGUCCAUGACGGUACCGUAAGAAUAAGCACCGGCUAACUACGUGCCAGCCGCCGCGGUAAAAC